AGAGUUUGAUCCUGGCUCAGAGCGAACGCUGGCGGCGUGCUUAACACAUGCAAGUCGAACGCGCAGCAUUCUGUAGCAAUACAGGGUGUGGGCGCGUGGCGAACGGGUGCGUAACACGUGGAUAACCUUCCUUCAGGUGGGGAAUAACCCAGUGAAAAUUGGGCUAAUACCGCAUAACAUGACGAUGGCACAUGCUGUUGUCUUCAAAGGCGCAAGUCGCCAGAAGAGGGAUCCGCGGCCGAUUAGCUUGUUGGCGAGGUAAUGGCUCACCAAGGCAUUGAUCGGUAGCCGGACUGAGAGGUUGACCGGCCACACUGGAACUGAGACACGGUCCAGACUCCUACGGGAGGCAGCAGUGGGGAAUCUUGCACAAUGGACGAAAGUCUGAUGCAGCAACGCCGCGUGGGGGAUGAAGCUUCUCGGAGUGUAAA
rnacentral:rRNA from 1 species